rnacentral:rRNA from 1 species
CCUACGGGAGGCAGCAGUGGGGAAUAUUGGACAAUGGGGGGAACCCUGAUCCAGCCAUGCCGCGUGUGUGAAGAAGGCCCUCGGGUUGUAAAGCACUUUCAGUGAGGAAGAACGCCUGGUGGUUAAUACCCAUCAGGAAAGACAUCACUCACAGAAGAAGCACCGGCUAACUCCGUGCCAGCAGCCGCGGUAAUACGGAGGGUGCGAGCGUUAAUCGGAAUUACUGGGCGUAAAGCGCGCGUAGGUGGCUUGAUAAGCCGGUUGUGAAAGCCCCGGGCUCAACCUGGGAACGGCAUCCGGAACUGUCAAGCUAGAGUGCAGGAGAGGAAGGUAGAAUUCCCGGUGUAGCGGUGAAAUGCGUAGAGAUCGGGAGGAAUACCAGUGGCGACGGCGGCCUUCUGGACUGACACUGACACUGAGGUGCGAAAGCGUGGGUAGCAAACAGGAUUAGAUACCCCAGUAGUC